rnacentral:lncRNA from 1 species
UGAAUGUUCCUUAUGAGGUGCUGACCAAGUGUUGUUACUUUGUAGCCGAUCCGCCAUCCAAGAUGGCCGCCAGUGGGGGACUUUUGAAUGAAAUUAAACAUGUUCCUUUCCUUAUCAAUGAGGUUGUGUUGUCACUUUUAGCCAAAUUUUAUAUUUUUUCAUAUGAUUUCAAAAACCCAAGUAGAAUCAGGUGAGCGAUACAGGCUCUUGAGAGCCUCUAGUUGUAAUCUUUUACAAAAA